rnacentral:ncRNA from 1 species
CCCUCCGAAGUUUCCCUCAGGAUAGCUGGCGCUCUCGCUCUUUUCCCGACGUACGCAGUUUUAUCCGGUAAAGCGAAUGAUUAGAGGUCUUGGGGCCGAAACGAUCUCAACCUAUUCUCAAACUUUAAAUGGGUAAGAAGCCCGGCUCGCUGGCGUGGAGCCGGGCGUGGAAUGCGAGUGCCUAGUGGGCCACUUUUGGUAAGCAGAACUGGCGCUGCGGGAUGAACCGAACGCAUAUGUUAUUCUUCACCCACACCUCCACUGCACAGGGAGGACGG